AAUUUUCUUCGAGGCAGGGUGUAAUUCCCGAUCGGCGGUGAAAUAAAGUCCGCAAGCCGUGUUAACGGUGGAUUCAGUGUGAAGCUGAAACCGACAGUGAAAGUCUGGAUGAGAGAAGAAACUU
rnacentral:ncRNA from 2 species